CCUGGAUUCAUGCAGUGUCCACUCUGACAUAUCAGUGGGGUGCUGCAUUUGAAACCACAUCUGAAAUGGGCACUGGGGUCCUGCUCAGAGCAUUCUGUGGAAAGGCUGCCAGGUUCUCCAGGGGCUGCUCUCUUUGGGCACUUGUGUCUGUGACCUCAGACCAGAAGGUGGCGCAGACCUGGCUGCUGGUUAGCAGCAAUGUGGUGGAGCCUCGGGCUGUAGCACAUCAGGACAAAAUUAACCAUGUCCAUUGUAGGCCAGUUGUUAAUGUCGAAGUACCUGAUAAGAUGAACUGUGACUGCCUCUCUGGUGCUGAUAACACUGUGAAAUAAGUGUAGAACACUUUUCUCUGUGAGACUGAUCUGCAUGACAUCUAGGAAGAGCACAGAAGAAAGGAACUGUGAACCUGGUUUCCCCAAGGGCACAGCAAUCAUCUGACCUUAAAACUUGUUCACCACUAGAGAAAUCAGUUGCUGUUCUUGCCAAUCUGCUGAUCCACACUCUUUGUACCAAAUGAACUGCUUCUUUGCCAUUCCUUGCCUUGCCAUCUUUCAGCCCAAGGUGCCUGCAUCAGUCUCCAUUGUCAUCAGAGCAGAUAAGUAAACUUGCAUCACCUUAAAAUGACUGUAACAGCCCAAUCAGCCUCAGAGUUUUGCUGUUGCCAUCAUUUGAUAAACAUUCAGGUUGAACAUUAAAUGACUGUUUUGUUUUUCUGUCAUGCAAUUUCGAGUUAACUGCAGUUCUAAUAACUAGAGUGCUUCAAAUACAACCAGGGCUGUGCAAAUUUUCAUGUCCUUAAUGAUUAUUUGAAAAUGAUGCCCAAGAAAUUUUUAGCCUUGACAAGUGGUAAAUUGACAUUUGAACGUAGCAUAACGCUUUCUUCUAAGUUGGUUGUGUGUGGGGUUUUUUUGUCUCCAUGCAUGU